GAGCGGAUGAGUGGCUGGUGUGCUCUGCGGUCUUCAAAACCGUUGUGAGAAGUGUACUUCUUGGGUAGGUUCGAUUCCUACACGCUC
rnacentral:tRNA from 1 species